rnacentral:rRNA from 1 species
GAACCGUCCUAACGUUGUUCGGAUUCACUGGGCUUAAAGGGCGCGUAGGCGGGUGAGCAAGUCCGGGGUGAAAUCUUUCGGCUUAACCGGAAAACUGCCUUGGAUACUGCUUGUCUGGAGGGAGGUAGGGGUCUGCGGAACUUCCGGUGGAGCGGUGAAAUGCGUUGAUAUCGGAAGGAACGCCGGUGGCGAAAGCGGCGGACUGGACCUCUUCUGACGCUGAGGCGCGAAAGCUAGGGUAGCGAACGGGAUUAGAUACCCCGGUAGUCCUAGCCCUAAACGAUGGGUACUAGAUAGUGGACUUAACAUGGGUUCACUGUCGAAGCAAAAGUGAUAAGUACCCCGCCUGGGGAGUAUGGUCGCAAGGCUGAA